GAGGAAUAAGCAUCGGCUAACUCCGUGCCAGCAGCCGCGGUAAUACGGGGGAUGCAAGCGUUAUCCGAAAUCAUUGGGCGUAAAGCGCCUGUAGGUGGUUUAGAAAGUCUGUUGUUAAAGCCUAGGGCUUAACCCUAGAACAGCAAUGGAAACUGCUAAACUUGAGUAUGGUAGGGGUAGAGGGAAUUUCUAGUGUAGCGGUGAAAUGCGUAGAUAUUAGAAAGAACACCAGUGGCGAAAGCGCUCUACUGGACCAUUACUGACACUCAGAGGCGAAAGCUAGGGUAGCAAAAGGGAUUAGAUACCCCUGUAGUCCUAGCCGUAAACGAUGGAUACUAGAUGUUGCGUUUAUUAUGCAGUAUCGUAGCUAACGCGUUAAGUAUCCCGCCUGGGGAGUACGCUCGCAAGGGUGAAACUCAAAGGAAUUGACGGGGGCCCGCACAAGCGGUGGAGCAUGUGGUUUAAUUCGAUGCAACGCGAAGAACCUUACCAGGGCUUGACAUACUGCGAAUCUCUUUGAAAAAAGAGAGUGCCUUCGGGAAUGCAGAUACAGGUGGUGCAUGGCUGUCGUCAGCUCGUGUCGUGAGAUGUUGGGUUAAGUCCCGCAACGAGCGCAACCCUUGUUUUUAGUUACUAAUUUAUUAGGUUUUCUAGAAAGACUGCCGGUGACAAACCGGAGGAAGGUGAGGAUGACGUCAAGUCAGCAUGCCCCUUAUGUCCUGGGCCACACACGUGCUACAAUGGCUAAGACAAAGAGUCGCGAAUUCGUGAGGAUAAGCUAAUCUCGUAAACUUAGCCUAAGUUCAGAUUGUGGGCUGCAACUCGCCUGCGUGAAG
rnacentral:rRNA from 1 species